AGUGAACGCUGGCGGUAGGCCUAACACAUGCAAGUCGAACGGCAGCACAGUAAGAGCUUGCUCUUACGGGUGGCGAGUGGCGGACGGGUGAGGAAUACAUCGGAAUCUACUUUUUCGUGGGGGAUAACGUAGGGAAACUUACGCUAAUACCGCAUACGACCUACAGGUGAAAGCAGGGGAUCUUCGGACCUUUCGCGAUUGAAUGAGCCGAUGUCGGAUUAGCUAGUUGGCGGGGUAAAGGCCCACCAAGGCGACGAUCGGUAGCUGGUAUGAGAGCAUGAUCAGCUACACUGGAACUGAGACACGGUCCACACUCCUACGGGAGGCCGCAGUGGGGAAUAUUGGACGAGGGACGCAAGCCUGAUCCAGCCAUACCGCGUGGGUGAAGAACGAGUUCGGGUUGUAAAGCCCUUUUGUUGGGAAAGAAAAGCAGCAGGUUAAUACCCCGCUGUUCUGACGGUACCCAAAGAAUAAGCACCGGCUAACUUCGUG
rnacentral:rRNA from 1 species